AGAGAAAAGGUAAAUGAUUUAAAAUCGUUGGUCUUUCACCUUCAUCAGGAGCUGGUGUCCUCCCCCUCGAGGAUGGCGCCGGCGACCAUGGCGCUAGCGGUGCUGGUGAACCUUUCCGAACGGCAAUAGACUGCGGCGAGGAGCGAGGAUUCGGCUUGACCACUGAUGCUCAAUGCUAAUGGCAAACAACGAAUCGGAGCUAGUAGUUUGGAGGAGCGGGAAGCAGCGGGUCACAUGCAGUGCCAUGGAAAGGGACACGGUGACUAGUUUGUCAGGCCAGAGGAAAUCGGGUAAACAGAACUACAUGAACCAGCACAAGGGGCUAGACUUGCCUGCAAUGGCCUUGGCGUAAGGUACUCGGUCUCUGUCGUAGAUGUUGCUUCUUUGCCAACAAUUUCAUUAGCUGAUGCUGAUUGCAAGAUGCAGAUGUUCCUGUUGUUCUAUGUAUGUAUCAUAUUGUUGCGACAUGUGCAAUGUAAGGAUCUGUUCCUGAAGAAUGAGUGUCUCGGGGCUUUAUGUUGACUGACAUUAUGUUCAGUGGAAUACUGGAAUCAGUGGGUAAAAAACCUUACAAAUCUGUUCCUCUCGUUUAGAAAUGUAA